AGCAUAAGUGUUAUUCAGGAUGAAGUUAUACAAGGGCUUGAGAAUCUUGCAUUCCUCAAGAUGACAUCCAUUGCAACAGGUCAGAAUUCUUUAUGAGUGCUGCAUUAUGGCCCACUUCACGCUUAAGAACAAACAUGAGGAUUUCAGAGCUGAAUCAACGUUAGACUCUUAAAAAACAAUUGUAUCAUCUUAUCUUCACAGGUACGGGACAAAGACAAGACCAUCACGGAUAAAGACAGGAGCAGAUUUAGUAUAUGUGCUGCCACCAUAACGGAUAAAGACAAGAACAGAUUUUAGUAUAUGUGCUGCCAUUUGAGACCAGCCUGGCCAACAUUG